rnacentral:rRNA from 1 species
UACGAAGGGUGCAAGCGUUGUUCGGAUUCAUUGGGCGUAAAGGGUGCGUAGGCGGCGCGGUAAGUCGGGUGUGAAAUCUUGGAGCUUAACUCCGAAACUGCAUUCGAUACUGCCGUGCUUGAGGACUGGAGAGGAGACUGGAAUUUACGGUGUAGCGGUGAAAUGCGUAGAUAUCGUAAGGAAGACCAGUGGCGAAGGCGGGUCUCUGGACAGUUCCUGACGCUGAGGCACGAAGGCCAGGGGAGCAAACGGG